AUGUCAAGUGGACAAGCAGUGAGCAACACAGCACUCAACCAAGCACACCACCGCUUUUCUUCCCCAAACGGAACCACAAGCAAAGCACAGAUGCAACGGCCUCCAAAAGAAGCCACACCUUUGCCAAACUUGCCUUUGCCCGGUCAGCUUCGCACCAUCUAUCAUCAUCCAUCUAGUGGAGUGGAGCACCCAAAAACGGAGGCCUCCGCAUCAGCAGAUACGAAACCAAAGCAAGAUUUCUGUUGUAAUAUAAUCUUAAUAAGACGCGAAAACAGCUCCAAUCUAGAACCCACUUUCAGAUCCACUCACCCAACACUCGACACAAACACAUAG
rnacentral:rRNA from 1 species